UACGUAGGGGGCAAGCGUUGUCCGGAUUUAUUGGGCGUAAAGAGCGUGUAGGCGGCCAAACAGGUCAGCUGUGAAAACUCGAGGCUCAACCUCGAGACGUCGGUUGAAACCGUUUGGCUAGAGUCCGGAAGAGGAGAGUGGAAUUCCUGGUGUAGCGGUGAAAUGCGCAGAUAUCAGGAGGAACACCGGUGGCGAAGGCGGCCCGCUGGGCAGGAAGGCUCGCAAGAGCCGGCUGACACUGAGGCGCGACAGCGUGGGGAGCAAACAGG
rnacentral:rRNA from 1 species